rnacentral:lncRNA from 1 species
CGUAGAAAUUUGUUUCUUUUGUUAUUUUUCCAACAAUUUGUUGAUAAGAUCAUUUAGAGUUUCAAAUAUGUUAAAGGUCUCUCUAUGUUCUUUUGAGCUCUUUUUUUGUGGAGCAAGGUCUCUCUAUUACAAAUUUUAAUGUUUUUUUAAUGAAAAUUGUUUACAUGUAUAAAAUGAAGCUUGAAAAGAUAAAAAUAAGUUGAUGAUAUGAUACUAAAGUUCUCUAUACCUAUGUAUAAUAGUUGUUACACAUUUUAAUGUUUUUUUAUUAAAAUUAUUUAUAUCUAAGAAAUGAAGCUUCAAAACAUAGGAAAUAGUCGAUGUCAAAUGCAAUAUCAAAGUUUUCUUUAAAUGUAAA